rnacentral:rRNA from 1 species
CCUACGGGAGGCUGCAGUGGGGAAUAUUGCGCAAUGGGCGAAAGCCUGACGCAGCGACGCCGCGUGAGUGAAGAAGUAUUUCGGUACGUAAAGCUCUAUCAGCAGGGAAGAAAAUGACGGUAGCUGACUAAGAAGCACCGGCUAACUACGUGCCAGCAGCCGCGGUAAUACGUAGGGGGCAAGCGUUAUCCGGAUUUACUGGGUGUAGAGGGAGCGUAGACGGCAGCGCAAGUCUGGAGUGAAAUCCCAUGGCUUAACCAUGGAACUGCUUUGGAAACUGUGCAGCUAGAGUGCAGGAGAGGUAAGCGGAAUUACUAGUGUAGCGGUGAAAUGCGUAGAUAUUAGGAGGAACACCAGUGGCGAAGGCGGCUUACUGGACUGUAACUGACGUUGAGGCUCGAAAGCGUGGGGAGCAAACAGGAUUAGAUACCCCAGUAGUC